rnacentral:rRNA from 1 species
ACCGGGGCUAAUACCGGAUAAUAAGAGAAGAAGCAUUUCUUCUUUUUGAAAGUCGGUUUCGGCUGACACUUACAGAUGAGCCCGCGGCGCAUUAGCUAGUUGGUGAGGUAACGGCUCACCAAGGCGACGAUGCGUAGCCGACCUGAGAGGGUGAUCGGCCACACUGGGACUGAGACACGGCCCAGACUCCUACGGGAGGCAGCAGUAGGGAAUCUUCGGCAAUGGGCGAAAGCCUGACCGAGCAACGCCGCGUGAGCGAUGAAGGCCUUCGGGUCGUAAAGCUCUGUUGUUAGAGAAGAACAAGUACGAGAGUAACUGCUCGUACCUUGACGGUACCUAACCAGAAAGCCACGGCUAACUACGUGCCAGCAGCCGCGGUAAUACGUAGGUGGCAAGCGUUAUCCGGAAUUAUUGGGCGUAAAGCGCGCGCAGGCGGUCUCUUAAGUCUGAUGUGAAAGCCCACGGCUCAACCGUGGAGGGUCAUUGGAAACUGGGAGACUUGAGUGCAGGAGAGAAAAGUGGAAUUCCACGUGUAGCGGUGAAAUGCGUAGAGAUGUGGAGGAACACCAGUGGCGAAGGCG